AACGAACGCUGGCGGCAUGCCUAACACAUGCAAGUCGAACGAGACCUUCGGGUCUAGUGGCGCACGGGUGCGUAACGCGUGGGAACCUGCCCUUAGGUUCGGAAUAACUCCCCGAAAGGGGUGCUAAUACCGGAUAAUGUCUUAGGACCAAAGAUUUAUCGCCUUUGGAUGGGCCCGCGUUGGAUUAGCUAGUUGGUAGGGUAAAAGCCUACCAAGGCGACGAUCCAUAGCUGGUCUGAGAGGAUGAUCAGCCACCCUGGGACUGAGACACGGCCCAGACUCCUACGGGAGGCAGCAGUGGGGAAUAUUGGACGAUGGGCGAAAGCCUGAUCCAGCAAUGCCGCGUUGGUGAUGAAGGCCUUAGGGUUGUAAAGCUCUUUUACCCGGGAUGAUAAUGAGAGUACCGGGAGAAUAAGCUCCGGCUAACUCCGUG
rnacentral:rRNA from 1 species